rnacentral:rRNA from 1 species
AGAGUUUGAUCAUGGCUCAGAUUGAACGCUGGCGGUAUGCUUAACACAUGCAAGUCGAACGCGAACGUUUCUUCGGAAACAAGUAGAGUGGCGGACGGGGGAGUAAAGCGUAGGAAUCUGCCUAGUAGUGGGGGGCAACUUAGGGACCGUAUACACUCGACGUAGAAAAGGAGGCCUCUUCUUGAAAGCUUUCGCUAUUGGAUGAGCCUGCGUGAGAUUAGCUAGUUGGUAGGGUAAAGGCCUACCAAGGCGACGAUCUCUAGCUGGUCUGAGAGGACGAUCAGCCACACUGGGACUGAGACACGGCCCAGACUCCUACGGGAGGCAGCAGUGGGGAAUAUUGGACAAUGGGCGCAAGCCUGAUCCAGCAAUACCGCGUGUGUGAAGAAGGCCCUAGGGUUGUAAAGCACUUUCAGCAGUGAAGAAAUGCUUAAGGUCCAUAACCUUGAGUCUUGACGUCAACCGCACAAGCAGCACCGGCUAACUCCGUGCCAGCAGCAGCGGUAAUACGGGGGGUGCAAGCGUUAAUCGGAUUUACUGGGCGUAAAGCGCCCGUAGGCGGUUUAGUCAGUCGGAUGUGAAAGCCCAGGGCUCAACCUUGGAAUUGCAUUCGAUACUGCUUGACUAGAGUAUGGUAGAGGGAAUUGGAAUUUCCGGUGUAGCGGUGAAAUGCGUAGAUAUCGGAAGGAACACCAGUGGCGAAGGCGACUUCCUGGGCCAAUACUGACGCUGAGGUGCGAAAGCGUGGGGAGCAAACAGGAUUAGAUACCCUGGUAGUCCACGCCGUAAACGAUGAGAACUAGAUGUUGGGAGGGGGUUGCCCCUCGGUGUCGCAGCUAACGCGUUAAGUUCUCCGACUGGGGAGUACGCCGGCAACGGUAAAACUCAAAGGAAUUGACGGGGACACGCACAAGCGGUCCAGCAUGUGGUUUAAUUCGAUGCAACGCGAAGAACCUUACCAGCACUUGACAUCCUGGAAACUUACUAGAGAUAGUUUGGUGCGUUCGGGAAUCCAGUGACAGGUGCUGCAUGGCUGUCGCCAGCUCGUGUCGUGAGAUGUUGGGUUAAGUCCCGUAACGAGCGCAACCCUUGCCCUUAGUUGCCAGCACGAAUGGUGGGAACUCUAGGGGGACUGCCGGUGAUAAACCGGAGGAAGGUGAGGAUGACGUGAAGUCAUCAUGGCCCUUAUGGGCUGGGCUACACACGUGCUACCAUGGCCGGUACAGAGGGCCGCAAACCCGCGAGGGGGAGCAAAUCUCACAAAACCGGUCGUAGUCCGGAUCGGAGUCUGCAACUCGACUCCGUGAAGUUGGAAUCGCUAGUAAUCGCGAAUCAGAAUGUCGCGGUGAAUACGUUCCCGGGCCUUGUACACACCGCCCGUCACACCAUGGGAGUGGGUUGCAAAAGAAGUGGGUAGUCUAACCUUCGGGAGGACGCUCACCACUUUGUGAUUCAUGACUGGGGUGAAGUCGGAACAAGGUA